CUGGAGGAUGAUGAGUUGCACACAAGGACCCAUAGUGCUGUGUACUGUGGGGCCUGACAGAGCUAGACUGGUGACAAGAACAAGUGCACAGGGGCCAGCUGACUCCAC